GCAGUCGACGACUCUGGUAUUGAUUGGUGCUUGCAUCAUGAUUUACAUUUGAGUGAGUGGCGAACUGGUGAGUAACACGUGGGAAACCUGCCCAGAAGCGGGGGAUAACACCUGGAAACAGAUGCUAAUACCGCAUAACAACUUGGACCGCAUGGUCCGAGUUUGAAAGAUGGCUUCGGCUAUCACUUUUGGAUGGUCCCGCGGCGUAUUAGCUAGAUGGUGGGGUAACGGCUCACCAUGGCAAUGAUACGUAGCCGACCUGAGAGGGUAAUCGGCCACAUUGGGACUGAGACACGGCCCAAACUCCUACGGGAGGCAGCAGUAGGGAAUCUUCCACAAUGGACGAAAGUCUGAUGGAGCAACGCCGCGUGAGUGAAGAAGGGUUUCGGCUCGUAAAACUCUGUUGUUAAAGAAGAACAUAUCUGAGAGUAACUGUUCAGGUAUUGACGGUAUUUAACCAGAAAGCCACGGCUAACUACGUGCCAGCAGCCGCGGUAAUACGUAGGUGGCAAGCGUUGUCCGGAUUUAUUGGGCGUAAAGCGAGCGCAGGCGGUUUUUUAAGUCUGAUGUGAAAGCCUUCGGCUCAACCGAAGAAGUGCAUCGGAAACUGGGAAACUUGAGUGCAGAAGAGGACAGUGGAACUCCAUGUGUAGCGGUGAAAUGCGUAGAUAUAUGGAAGAACACCAGUGGCGAAAGCGGCUGUCUGGUCUGUAACUGACGCUGAGGCUCGAAAGUAUGGGUAGCAACAGGAUUAGAUACCCUGGUAGUCCAUACCGUAACGAUGAUGCUAGUGUUGGAGGGUUUCGCCCUCAGUGCUGCAGCUACGCAUAGCAUUCGCUGGGGAGUACGCGCAGCUGAAACUCAAGAUUGACGGGGCCC
rnacentral:rRNA from 2 species